GGAAGAGAGAAGUGGAAUUCUCGGAGUAGCGGUAAAAUGCGUAGAUCUCGAGAGGAACACCAAUGGCGAAGGCAGCUUCUUGGUCCAUUCCUGACGUUCAUGCACGAAAGCGUGGGGAGCAAACAGGAUUAGAUACCCUGGUAGUCCACGCUGUAAACGAUGAUCACUAGACGUUAAUCUUGUUUAACAGGAUUAGUGUCGUAGCUAACGCGUUAAGUGAUCCGCCUGGGGAUUACGGUCGCAAGACUAAAACUCAAAGGAAUUGACGGGGGCCCGCACAAGCGGUGGAACAUGUGGUUUAAUUCGACACUACGCGAGGAACCUUACCUAGGCUUGACAUGCUUUUGACAGUCGUAGAAAUACGAUCUUUCUGGCUUCGGUCAGGACAAUUGCACAGGUGCUGCAUGGCUGUCGUCAGCUCGUGUCGUGAGAAGUUGGGUUAAGUCCUCUAACGAGCGCAACCCCUGCUGUCAGUUGCUAGUUACGUGAGUAACGCACUCUGAUGGGACUGCCUGGGAAACCAGGAGGAAGGUGGGGAUGACGUCAAGUCCUCAUGGCCUUUAUGCCUAGGGCGACACACGUGUUACAAUGGUUGGUACAAAGGGUUGCGAGUCCGCAAGGCCAAGCUAAUCCCUUAAAGCCAAUCUAAGUUCAGAUUGAGGUCUGCAACUCGACCUCAUGAAGUUGAAAUCGCUAGUAAUCGCGCAUCAGAACGGCGCGGUGAAUACGUUCUCGGGCCUUGUACACACCGCCCGUCACACCAUGAGAGCUGUUUGUACCCAAAAACAUUUUAGCCAACCCGUAAGGGAGGCGAAUGUCUAAGGU
rnacentral:rRNA from 1 species